rnacentral:rRNA from 1 species
UACGGAGGGUGCGAGCGUUUAAUCGGAAUUACUGGGCGUAAAGUGUGCGCAGGUGGCCGCGCAAGUCGAGUGUGAAAUCCCCGAGCUUAACUUGGGAAUUGCGCUCGAAACUACGUGGCUCGAGUGUGGCAGAGGAAGGUGGAAUUCCACGUGUAGCGGUGAAAUGCGUAGAGAUGUGGAGGAACACCGAUGGCGAAGGCAGCCUUCUGGGCCAACACUGACGCUCAUGCACGAAAGCGUGGGGAGCAAACAGG